GCUUGAGUUGACAGGGCUGGAAGAAGAUUUGGCUGUGUUAAAAUCUCAAAUGUGGAAAGUAAAGAUAAGGUGAUCUCAAGAUUUAACGGUUCAUGGAUCGGGGAAUUAUAAGGGUUUUUAAUACUAGAGAUAAUAGCUCUUUUUCUGAAGUGGUGAAAGGUAAGCCCAAGAGUCCCAUUCAGAAUGAGAGAAGCCCUUGAAAACGAGUGGCUUCAAAACCAAAGGAGUGUUGCUGGUUUUGCAUCUAACACGCAGUGCAUUCCAACAAUAUACGAAAGUAGGAAAAGUGAAAGUGUUUUUAUGUGAUGGGUGGUAACAUGGUU
rnacentral:misc_RNA from 1 species